GAUGAACGCUAGCUACAGGCUUAACACAUGCAAGUCGCGGGGCAGCAUGGGGGUUGCUUGCAAUCCCCGAUGGCGACCGGCGCACGGGUGAGUAACGCGUAUCCAACCUGCCCUUCACCACGGGAUAACCCGGCGAAAGUCGGACUAAUACCGUAUGUUGUCCAUUGACGGCAUCCGAUUUGGACGAAAGGCUUGGCGGUGAGGGAUGGGGAUGCGUCCGAUUAGCCAGACGGCGGGGUAACGGCCCACCGUGGCUACGAUCGGUAGGGGUUCUGAGAGGAAGGUACCCCACACUGGAACUGAGACACGGUCCAGACUCCUACGGGAGGCAGCAGUGAGGAAUAUUGGUCAAUGGGCGUAAGCCUGAACCAGCCAAGUAGCGUGCAGGAUGACGGCCCUAUGGGUUGUAAACUGCUUUUAUGCGGGGAUAAAGUGGCCCACGUGUGGGCUUUUGCAGGUACCGCAUGAAUAAGGACCGGCUAAUUCCGUG
rnacentral:rRNA from 1 species